CAAUAUCAAUUUAUCUGAAAUUUUAUAAACUUGGCCGAUUCCUGGUGUCUCCUGGUUUUAACUUCGUAAUGCAUAAAAUAAUUAUUUACUCACAGGCAGUGGGGUUUUCUGUUAUCAUUCUAUAAUCUAGAAUUGUACUCGGUAAAGGGCAGCACUCUAUUUAUCCCAGAUAAGGGAAAAAGGUGUCGUUGAAUAGCAGACACUGUAUAGAAAACAUGAAAUUAACUAGGAUAAAAUAUUUUAUUCAAGCAUUGCAGAUAUAAAACAAAAUUACCUACAAGAAAUUUCAAAUAAGAAGGAUGUAUGAUAUGAUAUGAUAGAAAUUUCUCUAACUGAAUAAAUAACCCAUUAGACUAGCUAACCACGCUAUGCCAUUCAGGAUGAGAUUAACCACCAGCAAAUGGUUAAAGAGUGUUGACAUUUAUAAUGACAGAUACCACGGAUGUUGCGGAGUCGGGGCGGCGUGCCACAAUAAUUGCGGCAAUCAAAGAAACAAACACAAGGCAUUUCUACGGUUAUAUUUCGCAAACCACUUACCUUGGUUAUUUUCCUUACAAACAGAAUCGUGGCAAACUGGUAAAUAAUAAAUAAGAAAGUGUAUCUCGAGUCGAAAAUAUUCCGAGCACUACUUGAAAAUAUCAAGAUUUCAGAACAUAUUAAGAACAAGACGUAAAUUGUGACAUGUUACUGCAUAUUAAUAAACCACCCAUAUAUUGUAGGGGUAUAAAAGGGGAGAAUUUGUUAGACACGACCACAGUUACAUCAGGUGAGUUCAGGAAUCCUCAA